UCUGGCUGGGGUGGGACCUGUGUUGGGUUCCAGGCAUCAGCUGCCGCUUUCUCAGGGCAAUGCUGCGUCUGCCUUAGUUGCAGAGGAGGAGGACGAAGGGUUUUCUGGGUCCGGAGUGGUGCUAGCCAGAUCCACUGCACGCUUGGGGUUUCCGCUCCCACCCUGGCCAGGGCCCUGGGCAGCUUCCCCAGUGGCAUUUGCCAUACCCCACCCAGCCACGUGCGG
rnacentral:lncRNA from 1 species